AUGUUCCCUCAGCCUUCUGUUCCCUCACCUCUAUGUUCCCUCAGCCUUAUCCCUAUGUUCCCUCAGCCUUAUCCCUAUGUUCCCUCAGCCCUAUGUUCCCUCAGCCUUCUGUUCCCUCAGCCCUAUGUUCCCUCAGCCCUAUAUUCCCUCAGCCUUCUCCUUAUGUUCACUUAGCCUUAUGUUCCCUCAGCCUUCUGAUGGUAUCAUUGGUUUCUAUCUAAAUCGGCA